CCUUUUUACUUCCUGUGGCAUAUGGAAGUUCCCAGGCCAGGGGUCAAAUCAUAGCUGCAGCUGGGACCAACACUAUAACCAGAGCAAUGCUGAGUCUGAGCCAUAUCUGCAACCUGUGUCACAGCUUGCAGAGACACUAGAUCCUUAAUUCACUGAACGAGGCCAAGAAUCAAACCUGCAUUCUCAGAGACACAGCACUGGGUCCUUAACCUGCUGAGCCACAAUGGGAACUCCACAAAUGGCUAAGUUUUAGAGACUAAAAAUGUUAGUUUUAUUUUUAUAGUUGUUUGGGGUUUUAGGUUCUAUUGGUGAACAUUGUCUCUUACAUUAUAACUGCACAUCACUUGUAGCCUGAUCAUCCUGAAGCAUCCCAGUGUUCAAUCCCAAGUGAGAGCCUCACACCUAAAUGAUGUUGCCCACAGCUGUACCAGAAUCCCAGGCUUCAUCCUGCUUCCUUCCACCCACAAAGUACAAAGCCACAUGUACAGGGUCAGAGGAUGCCCCUCUUAGUCUCCUCAGCCAAUGGGAUUCUGAAAAGCACCUUAAAUCAGAUGAACUAUUAAAACACCAAGAAAGCAAAGGCCUUGAAAGAAGCUUAUAAUUAGGAUGGUGAAGUAACUUAUUCUCUAUACUUGAACAUUUCUGAGCAUGAAAGGAGAACACUAUAAAUAAUUAGUUGAGACGAAAGGCAUAAAUAGGUCUGCAUCACAUGUAGUUGGCAGAUGAGCGAUUCAGUUACCUAGUUACAGAUUAUUUCUGGUCCCACUGGUGGCAUGUGGAAGUUCCUGGGCCAGAGAUUGAACCCGUGCCAUGGCAGCGACAACCCCGGAUCCCCGACCCACUGAGCAACAGGGGAACUCCCUUUGCUACAGAUAUUUUUUAUGAGCAAGAAUGCCCAUUUACAUGAUGUUACAUGCCUCUAGAAUCAUCUCUUGUUUAAAAAUCAUUUAUCUGAAUUUAGGGAGCAACUAUGAAUAGUAUGGAAAACAAAUCAAAUUUUGCAUUAAUAAUUAAAAUUGAAAGGACCAGGAAUUGUAUAGGAGCAUGGAUUGAUUUGAAGAAAAUACAUUUUUUCCCCCAUGAAGUAGAUUUUCUGGUGUUUAAGGAAGCAGAUCGGAUGGGAAAGUCUUAUGGAAUCCCCGGCUCAGGAGGCUUACAGCUGCUUCUUUUGUUUUGUUAUACAUCAUCCUUCAUGUUUUAACUUCCUCCUCUCUUUUGCAGUUUGGAAAAAGCUUCCUGGAUAAUUGGGCUGAGUUAGCACUCCACCGUUUCCCUAAAUUGCAUCGUUUUGGAGCUGAAGACCAUGGCUCUGUGGUAGCCAUGUUGAUGGUAUGAAAACGACUGGAGAGUGAGAGGCAGGAUGGAUCCACUGUGUGUCGAGUAUUUCCUUGUCUUCAUUGUUGGGGCAGCCUGGAGUUCUUGCCUAGAAUUUCUGUGGGCUGUGAGUCACUCCUUUUUAUAAAAGGUGGGCGAAAGAGAUUUCCAGAGUGAAUAAGAUUGACACCUUCCUGGGGCCAUGAGCUGCUCAUGUGUCCAGCUGGUGAAUAAUGAGAAAAGGCCCACAUGUUGGCUGAAAAACAACCCUGUGAAGCUAUUUUGAGAGUGGUUGAUACUCUUUAAAAUAGACUAUUCUGGGAAUUUGACAAAAUAAUGACAUACCUGGGAUCUCUCAGGAUUUCAUUAUUCGGAGUGACAGGAGAGUCCCCACCACAAGCCCAUACUUGAGGAAAUAUUUAGAGAAAAAGAUGAAGAGGGUCACUGAUAAUGAUGCCCUGGUGACCUCUGAUGGUGAGUGAAUGGGUACCUGUUUCAGCUGUUUCUUUGUUAAAAAAAAUUCCCCUAACCAUUUCUAGCCUGGUAAUGACUGUCUGACUCCAGGGCCAAGAAAGCAGCAUGAAUAUAACAGUGAACACCCAAAGGACCAUUUAUUUUUAGGAAAAGAGGUAUCACAUUUGAAUACUUGGGCCUUGACCUUUGUCUCUUAAGGAAAAAAAAAAGAAUAAGAAUUUUUCAACCAACUGUUGCUAACCUGAAAUAGAAAAGAUCACCAAUAAAAACAGUAUCAAGCCCAAACUUGGGAUAUUUCAAAUAGUUUAUAAUAUCAUUUUUGGUAAAAAAAAAAAAAAUCUUUCUCUUUGGCUCUAUAAGAUAGAGAUUACAUUGUUAAGUGAAAUGAUUCAUUAAGGCAAAAACUCGGAGAAUUAUUAUUUUCCUUUAAUUAUCCAGAUGAUUCAUUAAGGCAAAAAUUCAAAGAAUUAUUAUUUUCCUUUAAUUAGGAUUUUUCAUAGCUAAAUUACCAAUUUCUUCCAGGAGACUUAAUCUCUUGGUUCCAAGAAUUCAGUUUAUUCAAAUUUAGGUAUUUAUCUUAUGCUAAAUGACAUGUUUCAGACAACUAUCCCCUCAUAACUCGUUAUUUUAUCUCCCUUAUGUUAUUCUCAUACAUAAAAAGUGAUAUACAUGAAACAUGAUAUACUUGGAAAUGCAAAAUAUACACCCUGAAAAACAUUUAAAAUCUCUUCCAGUGUUAACACUGAUAUGCUAUUUAAAUGUAUUUUAAGGUAUUUUAUUAAAAAUUUGAUUUCUAUCAUCUUCAUCUCCCUCCAUGUUGUUAAAAUGAAUUAUAGACAAACAGAAAGUUAAAAAUUAUCAUGUGGAUGGAAAAAAAUCCAAAAGUACAUGAACGAAAGAAUGGAUAGGAGCUCCUGCUGUGGUGCAGUGGGUUACGAGUCUGACUGCAGUGGGUUAUGAGUCUGACUGCAGCGGCUCAGGUCCCUGUGGAGGUGUGGGUUUGAUCCCCAGCCCUGAUGCAGUGUGUUCAGGUUCUGGCGUUGCCAUAGCUGCAGCAUAGGUUGCAUCUGUGGCUCAGAUUCAGUCCCUGGCCUAGGAAAUUCCAUAUGCUGUGGGUGUGGCUAUAAAAAAAUGGAGAAACAAAAUGUGGUCUCUUAGCACCAGAGAAUAGCAUUCAGCCAUUAAAAGGAAUGAAGCACUGACACGGGCUCCAGUGUGGCUGGACCUUGAAAAUGGGAUGCUAAGGGAAAUAAGCCAGACACAAAAGACCACACUGUGAAUUUCCAUUUAUGUAAAAUGUCCAGAAUAGUCAAAUCCAUAGAGAUACAAAGUAAGAUGCACGGUUGUCCAGGGUUGGGUGGGGGGCAUGACUGCUGAUGGAUACACGGUUUCUUUUGAGGGUGACAAAAAUGUUCUAAAAUCAAGUUUUCAUGAUGGCUGUUCAACUCUGUGAAUAUAUGAAUAAACACUGAAUUAAACUGUAAAUUUAAAAGGGUGAGUUUUGUGGUAUGUGAAUUAUAUCUCAGUAAAGACUCAAUUUAGCCUAUGGAAGGCAUUGAUGAUAGAUUGGGAGGUGGAGGAAGAAGGUAUCUGGGGCCGUUUCUUCCUUUUGUCCUCUUCCUCAGGUCAGGUUUGCAUCAGUGUCUGACAUCCCCUCCUCCCCAAAAGAUCUGUCUCCCACUUGAUAGACCUUCUGUUGUUCUAGCUCCACUGGAUGACCCUGGUGGGAACCUAUAGGGUCUUCCCAGGACAGACCCCCUGCCCCCAUACACACCAGUGUCCUCUGCCUGCUUCUUAUCCGUAGAAAAAACCUUAAUCAAAGAAUAAAUUUAGGAGUUCCUGUUCUGGUCCAGCAGGUUAAGAACCUGACAUAGUAUCCACAAGGACAUGGUGGUUCGAUUCUUGGCCUUGCUGAGUGGGUUAAGGAUCUGGCAUUUCUGGAAUGCAGUGUAGGCUGGCAGUUGCUGCUUCGAUCCAACCCCUAGCCUGGGAACUUCCAUAUGACAGAAGUAAAAAAAAUACAGAAGCAAAGGAAAGCAGUCAAACAGGACAAAAGAGUCAUAGUUUAGUUAUUAAAGUCAAGAACAUUUAGUUCCUCCUUAAGGGCUAUAGAUAAUAUUCUGAGGUAUAUCCUUUGACCUACUUUCCAGAUACUAAAAUCCCCACAAGCUGGAAAAAGUUAAUUGUAUACUGUUAACUGUAAUUGCCCACAAGCCUGUAGACCCCAGACCAGGUGGAACCAGGAAGUUGAUAAUAUUAACUCCUGGUUACCUUGCCACCAACCAAUCCGAAGAAUGUCCAUGAGCUGAUCAUGCACCCCACAACCCACUCCCCAGCAUGUAGCCCCUUCUUCUUUUCCUAUAUUAUCUCUGAACAAAAACUGAGGAGAGGGGAGACAGUUCUUUGGGACAUGAGUCCACCUUCUCCCCAGGACUGUCAUCUUCCUCAAUAAAACUAUCUUUCCUUUUGCUCAACACUUGUUUCUCAGUCUUAAAUUCUUGAACGACGAGCAGUCAAACCUGAGUUUGGUAACAACAUCACUGACUUCCUUUGUCUGUCCAUCCAAGAAAUGUGCAAACAACCAGGAAUAAAACAAUGGAAACAGAGAUAUCACCUACUUACAGGGAAUUUACAGGCUAGUAGGUAAAUGUCAUUGCAUUUAAAAGUAAAAUUACAGGGACAGUGCAAUUCAAAUUGUACUUGUGGUCAUGUAGUCCUUGGCAUUGAAAAGAAAUGCUUUUUCUUUCUCCAGUCUCUGGGAUGUCCAGUGUUUGGGAGAUCUCAGUAAAUUUAUGUUUGUGUGGUUCCUUCUAGAGUCACAUUCUAGAAGCCAUGAACUCCACCCUCACACAUAUCUGAAUGCCCAGGCUGUCUUCUUACUUUUGGUCUGUUCCAGAUCAAAAUCCAGAACUUUUCCACCAUUCCACAACCCUCCACCAAAUAUUUUACUCACGUCAUUCCCAAGUUAAGCAAACUUGAGGAGAGCAAUGAGAUCUUCUUGCCCUUCAUAGCCAACUUCAACACCCAGACAGCUCUCUCCAAAGAGAUUCCCUCUCUUAUGCCCAAUUUUCAGGACUCUUCAACUUCAAUACAUUUAUAUUCUCAAAUAUACUUUAUACAUAGUGGUCAGCACCUCACUUUGGAAAGGGGGUGUACUUGUUCCCCACUGUUUUCCUGAUCCAGAAAGAAUCCCCACAUAGCAAUGUUACAAGAAUAAAGACUAGGAGUUUGGGGAGUUCCCAUUGUGUCCUAGUGGUAACAAAUCUGACUAGUAUGCAUGAGAAUGCAAGUUUGAUCCUUGGCACUGCUCAGUGGGUUAAGGAUCUGGCUUUGCUGUGAGCUGUGUUGUAGGUCACAGAUAAGACUCGGAUCCUCCUGGCUGGUGUAGGCCAGC
rnacentral:lncRNA from 1 species